AGCAAUACUUAGUGGCAGACGGGUGAGUAACAUGUAGGUGUCUGCCCUUUGGCCUGGNAUAACACGAGGAAACUUGUGCUAAUACCGGAUAAGUCUUUACGGAGAAAGCUUUAUGCACCAUUGGAUGAGCCUGCACUUGAUUAGUUUGUUGGUAGGGUAAUGGCCUACCAAGACUGUGAUCAAUAGCUGAUUUGAGAGGAUGAUCAGCCACAUUGGGACUGAGACACGGCCCAAACUCCUCCGGGAGGCAGCAGUGGGGAAUCUUGCACAAUGGAGGAAACUCUGAUGCAGCGAUGCCGCGUGAGUGAAGAAGGCCCUUGGGUUGUAAAGCUCUUUCGUCGGGGAAGAAAAUGACUGUACCCGAAUAA
rnacentral:rRNA from 1 species